GAUGAACGCUAGCUACAGGCUUAACACAUGCAAGUCGAGGGGUAACAAGAGGAAAGCUUGCUUUCCUUGUUGACGACCGGCGCACGGGUGAGUAACGCGUAUCCAACCUGCCUAUAACUAGGGAAUAACCUUGCGAAAGUAAGACUAAUACCCUAUGAUUUCCUUUGAUGACAUCAGAUUAAGAAUAAAGAUUUAUCGGUUAUAGAUUGGGAUGCGUCUGAUUAGCUUGUUGGCAGGGUAACGGCCCCCCAAGGCAACGAUCAGUAGGGGUUCUGAGAGGAAGGUCCCCCACAUUGGAACUGAGACACGGUCCAAACUACUACGGGAGGCAGCAGUGAGGAAUAUUGGUCAAUGGGCGGAAGCCUGAACCAGCCAAGUAGCGUGCAGGAUGACGGCCCUAUGGGUUGUAAACUGCUUUUAUACAGGAAUAAAGUUAGCCACGUGUGGUUAUUUGUAGGUACUGUAUGAAUAAGGACCGGCUAAUUCCGUGCCAGCCGCCGCAGUAA
rnacentral:rRNA from 1 species